CAUGCAGUCGAGCGGAUGAGAAGAGCUUGCUCUUCGAUUCAGCGGCGGACGGGUGAGUAAUACCUAGGAAUCUGCCUGGUAGUGGGGGACAACGUUUCGAAAGGAACGCUAAUACCGCAUACGUCCUACGGGAGAAAGCAGGGGACCUUCGGGCCUUGCGCUAUCAGAUGAGCCUAGGUCGGAUUAGCUAGUUGGUGAGGUAAUGGCUCACCAAGGCGACGAUCCGUAACUGGUCUGAGAGGAUGAUCAGUCACACUGGAACUGAGACACGGUCCAGACUCCUACGGGAGGCAGCAGUGGGGAAUAUUGGACAAUGGGCGAAAGCCUGAUCCAGCCAUGCCGCGUGUGUGAAGAAGGUCUUCGGAUUGUAAAGCACUUUAAGUUGGGAGGAAGGGUACUUACCUAAUACGUGAGUAUUUUGACGUUACCGACAGAAUAAGCACCGGCUAACUCUGUGCCAGCAGCCGCGGUAAUACAGAGGGUGCAAGCGUUAAUCGGAAUUACUGGGCGUAAAGCGCGCGUAGGUGGUUUGUUAAGUUGGAUGUGAAAUCCCCGGGCUCAACCUGGGAACUGCAUCCAAAACUGGCAAGCUAGAGUAGGGCAGAGGGUGGUGGAAUUUCCUGUGUAGCGGUGAAAUGCGUAGAUAUAGGAAGGAACACCAGUGGCGAAGGCGACCACCUGGGCUCAUACUGACACUGAGGUGCGAAAGCGUGGGGAGCAAACAGGAUUAGAUACCCUGGUAGUCCACGCCGUAAACGAUGUCAACUAGCCGUUGGAAUCCUUGAGAUUUUAGUGGCGCAGCUAACGCAUUAAGUUGACCGCCUGGGGAGUACGGCCGCAAGGUUAAAACUCAAGAA
rnacentral:rRNA from 1 species